rnacentral:rRNA from 1 species
UACGUAGGAGACGAGCGUUGUCCGGAAUUAUUGGGCGUAAAGGGUGCGUAGGCGGUCUGACAAGUCUGAUGUGAAAUCUAUGGGCUCAACCCAUAGUCUGCAUCGGAAACUGUCGGGCUUGAGUAUGGGAGAGGUGAGUGGAAUUUCCGGUGUAGCGGUGAAAUGCAUAGAUAUGACUUAGAACACCAAUUGCUAAGGCAGCUCACUAAACAGAGAUUGACGCUGAGGCACGAAAGCGUGGGGAUCAAACAGG